rnacentral:rRNA from 1 species
AUAGUAGUGUCAGAGUUUGAUCCUGGCUCAGGAUGAACGCUGACAGAAUGCUUAACACAUGCAAGUCGAGCGCGUCUUAUCGGUGCUUGCACUGAGAAAGAUGAGCGGCGGACGGGUGAGUAACGCGUGGGUAACCUGCCCUAUACACAUGGAUAACAUACUGAAAAGUUUACUAAUACAUGAUAAUAUAUAUUUGCGGCAUCGUAGAUAUAUCAAAGUGUUAGCGGUAUAGGAUGGACCCGCGUCUGAUUAGCUAGUUGGUGAGAUAACUGCCCACCAAGGCGACGAUCAGUAGCCGACCUGAGAGGGUGAUCGGCCACAUUGGAACUGAGACACGGUCCAA